AACGCGAAGAACCUUACCUGGGCUCGAAAUGUAGUGGACCGGGGUGGAAACAUCCCUUCCCGCAAGGGCUGCUAUAUAGGUGCUGCAUGGCUGUCGUCAGCUCGUGUCGUGAGAUGUUGGGUUAAGUCCCGCAACGAGCGCAACCCUUAUUGUCAGUUGCCAUCAUUAAGUUGGGCACUCUGGCGAAACCGCCUCGGAUAACGGGGAGGAAGGUGGGGAUGACGUCAAGUCCUCAUGGCCUUUAUGUCCAGGGCUACACACGUGCUACAAUGGUCGGUACAAACCGUCGCAAACCCGCGAGGGGGAGCUAAUCGGAAAAAGCCGGCCUCAGUUCGGAUUGGAGUCUGCAACUCGACUCCAUGAAGCUGGAAUCGCUAGUAAUCGCGGAUCAGAACGCCGCGGUGAAUACGUUCCCGGGCCUUGUACACACCGCACUACUA
rnacentral:rRNA from 1 species